AGAACUCCAAUAUUUCAGAAGCCUUCUACUUCUCCAUUAACGUCGCAUCGCCCCCAAUCGUUUGGAUCUCCGCCACCGGCUCCGACUUCUCCCCGGUCGUCGUCGAAUUGGAUGGACUUUAAUUUGCGUUUGGAUUGAUGAUAAAGAGGUGAUUUGACAGAGUGUGAUGCAGGAGACAACUCUGUUAUCGCCUCCCUGCUUGCGGAAAUAAAGGAAUCAGAAGGAGGUUGGAUUCAUCGAUUUCCGAGGGGAGCACGAGGGGAGCCAUAAGAGCGACUGAAGUAACAUGGUUGUCCCUCUUGGGUGAAUUGCAAAUGAGAUUUAUUGUUAUGUAAGUUUAUUCGUCUCAUGGGAGAAUAAAAGUGCAAAGUUUUGGCAACAAGGAGGGAAAGAUAGAAAUUUUGGUCACAGAGAUGCUCAAAAUGACUGUCAUCAGCUCGGUGUUACUGGAAUGUGGUAGAAUAUAGAAAGUACGCAAGGUGUGUGUAUAUGGAACUGCUAAGGAGACCAGUUGCUAGUUGGGUAGGGGAUGAGAGUGGUUGCAAAAGACUCUAGAGGGGCAACUCCCUUUUUGCAGCAAAUAGACAAGUUCUCUCUGCAGCCUCCUGAAAUAGCAGAAUGCAAGGCCAUUGGCCAUUGCUAAGUGCUAUAGCAGGUUAGCUGCUUAACUAGACCGUACAACCUGAUAUGAAUACUGUGUGUCCAAAUCAGACACUCCAAUUAUUAUUUCCACCCUCUACCUCAUUGCUCCCACCUAAUAUUUAUUACUUGAACAUGUGCUUGAUGCUAGAAUAAUACCAUUUGGAAAUGGAACAGUGCUCCCACCCAGAUAUUUAUUCAAAUGCAAUCUCUAAUACUCUGUCCAUGCCUAAAUGGAAACAGUUGUUUGGGCUUCUAAUAAAAAUGAAAUCACAAUUGUAACAAGCAAGACUAACCUAUUCUUUUUUUACUAGUCUUCCUAUAUAUAUUAUUUUAAAAUAUAAAUAGACAUAGUCAUAACGAUCAAUCUCUUCAUUUAAGAUUAACAUUUCACUCCCAACUAAUGUAUAUCCUGCUGGAAGUCCUGCUCAUUGAGAAAGGUACAUCUCUAAUUACUAAAUGAGGGAUAUAGAAGAAAUAAUAUAUAUAGUAGGAUAUGCAUCUAAUGUAUAUCCUACUGAAAGUCCUGCCCAUUUAUGAGCACUGUAGAAAAAUCUACUUACCCGCACUCAGUUCAUUAAUCAAAACUUAAAGAUCCUACAAGUAACAGUUAUACUUCCUCAGCUUCAGAUUACUUGCCUAGUCUUGAUUUUUGCAGUCAAUUUGACUACAAAUUUGACUUGAAUUCAUAUAUAUUACUCCCAGUUCUUUUACAUUACUUUAACGCAUUUAAGAUCCAUAUAAAAUAUAAUUUUAUUGCUUAUUUUUAAAAUUUUCUUUUUAUAAAAUAUUAAAUUUUUAUUAAGAAAAAAAGUUUAAAAUAAACUAUGAAACUACAUUUUAUAAGAGUCUUAAUAUAUAUGUCAAGCCCCCGUCCCCUAAUUUAGACUACACCAAAAAGUAAAAACAUGACAGAUACAUUUGAAAUGCAGGGAGUAUCUUACACACACAAAAUUACAUAUACUCUGAGGUGUGGAAUUCAAGGAAAAGAUACACAUACCCACCUAAGAAUCAUGAGCAACACAAAUAUGGCACCCCUAAAACUGAAAUUUCUAAGACAAAGCAAUACAUUCAACACUAGAACAGAGCUUGAGAAGAUAAUGGAAAUUUCACUGAUGACAAGAGAACCACAGCAGAGGAAUAUGGCAGCAUAAAACUGAUAUUUGUAAAAUAACAACAGAACCAUUACUUUAAGUUCAACAACGGUACUAUGAUUAACAAAACAAAGCCAUAUUAAACAGAUCCACUGGAAAUUACAUCUACAUCAUUAUCAAGUUCUCUAUGAUAGUUUAUCAGCACAUUUAAUCCAUGACUCAAAAUGGAUGAAGCUUAAAUGUGUCCUGAAAUGAUAUAAAUUGGAAGUAGAUGAAAAUUCAUAUUCCAAAACCAAAGACAGCACGUAUCUUGUUGAAGAUCAAAUCUUUCCAUCCUCUUUCAGUGUUCUCCACCACAGUUGAAUUUCCAUAUCUGCAGUACCAAACAAAGGCAGAAAAUAAAUAUCAAUAAUGUCAGAAACGACAAACAAAACAAGAAAAUUAUUACUAAUAGAAAGAUCAACCUGUCCUCCUCCGGAACAUCAGUUUGGGUCAAGCUGACAACUGUAGUCCCAGGCUCAGGCUCCUCCAAAGUAAGUCUCACCUGCAACAACCAUUUUAACAUUAUCAAACAUACAAUUUUAUUAUAACUUAGCAAUUUCUAAUUUUAUAAUAACUUAGCAAUUUCUACCCUAACUUAACAUUAUCAAACAUACAAUUUUAUUAUAACUUAGCAAUUUCUAAUUUUAUAAUAACUUAGCAAUUUCUACCCUAACUUAUUUAUACUACAAGUUCACCAUUGAACAAUGAGAGGCAACUUUACAAGUUGCAGGGCAACAAAAACUAUUAUACUGCUUUCAAUAUGCAGCAAACAUAGACGUUAAGGCCAGUUUUACCAUAAAACUAUAAAUCCAGCCCAAAAUACCACAACUUGUAGCUCUAAUAGAGAAAACCAGAAAUUGUUUAAUCGCAUCUCUUAAUUUAUUAGGAGAUCCGGAUCUCCCAAAUGCGAGCAUAACUCUCAAACACAUAACUGAGAAAAGCAUAUCAUCUAUAUUCACUCGAUACAAAAGUAAAACUGAUGUUUCAUAUGCUAAUAUGGGCCUUCUUUUCCAGAUUAUGGCAUUUUAAAUCAUCCUUGACAUUUAGACAUUAUAUCACAAUUCUAUAUAGAUCGAUAUCAUAAUUAACACAUGAUAUCAUAUAUCAAAAGUACUCAUAACGCUAACAUAAGAAUCCAAAAGCAUAUCAAUAAAUAGUUCAAAAGCAGCUGUACAUACCGUAGAUUGAAGACCAUCAGGCCAGUUUCCGAACCUCCACUUCUGCACAAUCAAUUUCCCCUCCUGUAACUCCACAUUCGUCCCCGUAACAGCCCCAUCAAAAAUCAUAAACUCCCCACCGACCUCCUUACUAAUCUUGGCAUUACUCUGCGUAAACCCCUUCCACCUAUUCUCAUCCAUCAAAAUCUCAAACAUAUCCUUUGCCCUACAACUAAACUUCUCCGUCAUCUUAAUACUCUUAAACCCUUCCUUCUUCUUCUCCUUAACCACCUCCUUCUUCACCGGAGCUGAAACCGCCUCCGCCACCGCCUUCUUCACCUCCCCAUUACCCCCCGCACUCCCACUCACCUUCUUCACCUCCAAUUCAUCUUUCGCCGGCCCCCCUUUCGCCAUCGCCCCCACAUAAACCCUCACCUUCUCCCACACAACCUCCUUCCCCUUGGCCAAAAACGCAUCUUUCAACCUCUUCCCAAUCG